CCCAUGUUUGUUUACUCUCAUUUUUGCUGUGACUUGUAAAGUGCCCUGAGUUAAGUCACUUUCCUUUUUUCUGUCCCAUCUAAAAAAAAAAAAAUGAUAACAUAUUUCUUGUAUCCUUAUAAGACAAACAAGUUGAUGUGAAUAAAAUAGCUGCUUCUAACAGUUUGUGAGCCCGGGUUAAAUGGUGGUGGGCUUUUUUUGGUUGUAACUGAUGCUCUGUCUUGUCUUACUCCAUUUUUCUUUUACAUUGCUCUCAGAUCUCUAUUUUAUGACCAAAGGAAGACAUGACAACUUGCUUGACUGACAGCUGCCAGAAUCAUUAUUUUAAGCCCCAAUUCUUACCAGCCCAAGGAGAGAAACUUUGUACACAUGCUUAGAUCCACCACGAAGAAAAGACUAUGGCAUUGACACUAGGGAAAUGGUUCUCUCUGAACUUAGACCAGCUCAAACUAGGAAAGAUAGAACCUGCAGAAAGAUUUGGCUCGCCCAGCUGAACAGGGGUCUUGUGUUUUUUUUCCUUCUGAGAUCUCUCAAAAUUGACUCCCAAUCUGCCCACCAUC